GGCCCAGGGGCGGAGGAAGGGGGUGGGAAGGAUAGGUGGCCCGGUGCGUUUUUUCUUUUUCCGAAAGAGCGAGCAAGCGAGGCAGAAAUGUAGCGCUCUCCGAAAGGUCAUCGCCACCCACUGGGUCUGCUGUGAUAUUUUCAUUAUUGAGGGCUGUAAUUGGAUUCUUCUGGGAUGAUCAGAAAAAAAGUCCUAUUAACUGUCUCCAAACAACAGGACCAAGAGAAAGAACAUCGAUGACCUCAAUGAUGGAUAAAGGAGUCUCUCUGUGUUUGCCACGGGACCAGACGCAGCCAGGCAGUGGACAGGAUGCUGGCCCUGGAAGUCCGUCGGUGUCCUCCUGCUGAAGGAACUUGGCGGUGUGCGCUGGAGUGACCUGAUCCUCAGUGAGAACAUUAAGCCUCCCUCCUGAUCCUCGUGUUCAACAACUCUGGGGCAAACGCAGAAUUGUAAAUUAGCUCCCGGAAAGAAGAAGAAGAAGAGGAAAAAGGAGUUAAUUGGCCAUCCUCACAGGCUUCUUGUCAAAAAGUUUGGGGCUGAUGUGUCAACAAUUCCCUCACAACCUUAAGAAACAAUAUGCACGCUCCAGAAAACGAAAUCUAGCCCCUGUGUGUCAAUUAAUGAAACACUUCAAUCAGGGCAGGACUUCCCCUAACAGCGCAAUAAGUCAAUCAACCAGGCGGCUGUCACUUCCCUCUCUGCAACCUCCCAGUCGGCCUUGAAUUAGGAGUCCGAGCAGGAACAAUGUGAAAGGCAAAACACAUCUUCAAAUGUAUAAUAAAAUACAUUUCUAUCCUCGCA